UCCUGUUCCUUCACGAAAGUUCGUUGCAGGGAGAAAGAGUUUCCAGUGGAUAGCGUAGGAGAACUUUGAGCCGAUCACCGGACGCCGAGGAAGAAAGUCAGUAUGUCACACUUCGGAAGGUCAGGUCCGCCGGACAUCGCCGACACCUAUUCUCUUCUUGCCCUCAACAUAACGUUCCGCACGAACGCUGAUGAUCUCUUUCCGCUGUUCGAUAGGUAUGGAAAGGUUGUUGAUAUCUUUAUCCCUAGAGACCGAAGGACUGGUGAGUCACGAGGGUUUGCAUUUGUCCGCUAUAAGUAUGCAGAUGAAGCCCAAAAAGCAGUGGAUAGACUAGAUGGGAAAUUGGUUGAUGGAAGAGAAAUUGCUGUCCAGUUUGCAAAAUAUGGGCCAAAUGCAGAGAGGAUCCACAAAGGGAGGAUUGUUGAAAAGUUGCCCAGAAGCAGGUUCAGGUCAAGAAGUCGAAGUCCUCGACGAAGGUAUCGGGAUGAUUAUCAUAGGGGCAGAGAUUACUGGCGGAGAAGUCGGAGCAGAAGUUGGGACAGCUAUGAGAGUGAUAGGAAUCGGGAUGAUUAUCAUAGGGGCAGAGAUUACCGGAGGAGAAGUCGGAGCAGAAGUUGGGACAGUUAUGAGAGUGACAAGUAUCGAGGCAGGGGACGAGAUUACAAUUAUCGAAGCAGGGGACGAGAUUACCAUUAUCGAAGCAGGAGCCGUAGUGCAAGUCCAUAUGAUAGAAGCCAUAGGAGGGGUCAUUAUGAUGAUGAAAGUCCAGAAUAUGAUAGAAUUCGUGGCAGGGGUCGACAUGAUAAACGCAGGAUGAGUAGUAGUAUAUCUUCUGAAAGUGCAUCGCUGCGCCGGCGUAGCCCCAGCUCUCAGAGUGAUAUAUCACCACGGAGCGCAUCAUCCCCCAGGAAUGGUACUGGUGCUCUAACCCAUAAUGAUCUGUACUCCACUGCUCAAAGCUUGUCUCCACAAGGCCGAGCUGCUGAUUCACAAAGCCUCUCUCCCCUCAAUUUAGAGAAGGAGUGAUGGUUUUCUGGAAGGCACCCUGCUUUAAGUCAACAUGUUGAUUAUGUUGCAUGUUCUACAUUGUGGUUUUAGCCCAUGCUUUUGCAUGCUCGAGAAAAGGUGACAUGAGGCUGAUGAUUAAGUAGCUGUUGAUGCCGUCUGUUAGUUAGUAGAUGCAUAUGCACUAUUUUAUAGUGGUUGAACAGCAGAAUAUGGUGUGCGGUGAUUGACGUUCUUUGAUAGUUAUGUGGUGGAUUGGACUUCAAAUUGGUCAUAUAAUUGUGCACAUGUCCACCUAUUGCUGAUGCUGCUAGUCUGUUUACGCGGUAGAGGGAGAGAUGUAGAAGCACAUAUCCAUCCACCACCUAUUGCUGAUGCUGCCGGCGGGUAGAUCUUUUACAUGGUAGUGUUGGCGAUGUAGAAGCGCGGUAUUGGCCUGAAUUUUGCGGUGGGACCCUAGAAAAAGGGUGUGGUCAUCGGUUUUUUCUUUGUUAGUGUGUGUUAAAUUAGGAUCCUCAGGCUUCUGGACUCGUGGUACAUCUACUGGGGAGAUUAGAUGUAGACGGCUGUGAUAAACAUCAUCUUUGUUCAUCGAGUUGGGUAGGUGUGAUAAAAAAAAAUUAAAAAGAAGCUUCGCAUUAUUUUUUACGGCAGACGUUGCUGGGUUGAUGCUACUUGUGUUUUGGCAGCUUCUUUGUUGGGUUCGAUUCCUAUGGGGAGCUUUGAACUGGAAGAUGCUAAGAAUUUGUCAGGAUAAAAUUGCCCUAAACGAAUUGGUCAUGCAUCUAUAAAGUUUUUAAACAUUUUUCUUUUCUCGUCUCCAUUGGAUUGUUU